UGGCGGACGGGUGAGUAAUGUCUGGGAAACUGCCCGAUGGAGGGGGGUAACUACUGGAAACGGUAGCUAAUACCGCAUAACGUCGCAAGACCAAAGAGGGGGACCUUCGGGCCUCGCGCCAUCAGAUGAACCCAUAUGGGAUUAGCUUGUAGGUAAGGUAACGGCUUACCUAGGCGACGAUCCCUAGCUGGUCUGAGAGGAUGAUCAGCCACACUGGGACUGAGACACGGCCCAG
rnacentral:rRNA from 1 species